UCUGGGUCUUCCUUUCCUGUGGCGGUCCUCAUGAGAGACAGGUAACUCUGGGUCUUCCUUUCCUGUGGCGGUCCUCAUGAGAGACAGGUAACUCUGGGUCUUCCUUUCCUGUGGCGGUCCUCAUGAGAGACAGGUAACUCUGGGUCUUCCUUUCCUGUGGCGGUCCUCAUGAGAGACAGGUAACUCUGGGUCUUCCUUUCCUGUGGCGGUCCUCAUGAGAGACAGGUAACUCUGGGUCUUCCUUUCCUGUGGCGGUCCUCAUGAGAGACAGGUAACUCUGGGUCUUCCUUUCCUGUGGCGGUCCUCAUGAGAGACAGGUAACUCUGGGUCUUCCUUUCCUGUGGCGGUCCUCAUGAGAGACAGGUAACUCUGGGUCUUCCUUUCCUGUGGCGGUCCUCAUGAGAGACAGGUAACUCUGGGUCUUCCUUUCCUGUGGCGGUCCUCAUGAGAGACAGGUAACUCUGGGUCUUCCUUUCCUGUGGCGGUCCUCAUGAGAGACAGGUAACUCUGGGUCUUCCUUUCCUGUGGCGGUCCUCAUGAGAGACAGGUAACUCUGGGUCUUCCUUUCCUGUGGCGGUCCUCAUGAGAGACAGGUGACUCUGGGUCUUCCUUUCCUGUGGCGGUCCUCAUGAGAGACAGGUGACUCUGGGUCUUCCUUUCCUGUGGCGGUCCUCAUGAGAGACAGGUAACUCUGGGUCUUCCUUU